GACAGAGGGUGCAAACGUUGUUCGGAAUUACUGGGCGUAAAGCGCAUGUAGGCGGCCGCGUAGGUCGGAUGUGAAAGCCCUCGGCUCAACCGAGGAAGUGCAUUCGAAACCGCGUGGCUGGAGUCCCGGAGAGGAAGGUGGAAUUCUCGGUGUAGAGGUGAAAUUCGUAGAUAUCGAGAGGAACAUCGGCGGCGAAGGCGGCCUUCUGGACGAGGACUGACGCUGAGAUGCGAAAGCGUGGGGAGCAAACAGG
rnacentral:rRNA from 1 species